rnacentral:lncRNA from 1 species
UUAAAUGUGUGGUAAUGUUAAAUGACCAUCAUGAAGAGAGAGCGACACUGACAACCUUAAGACAGAGCUGGAGGUGGAGAAGCGCUCAUCUGUAGUUUGUUGGUUUGACCAGCAGGUGGAGCUGCUGUAUAAACAAUAAACUGCGACUCAACCAAACAAGUUCCUGUUUGAGUGAACUUGUUUAAUUUUGACACAGGAGAGGAAGAUGAUUGUCAAGAAUACUGAACUUAAAAGAUGAUCAAAAACUGUCAGUAAAUGUCAUGAGAAGAAGAAUCUGUGAUCUGGUGGUUUAGGUUUCAGUGGAAAGAGUCCCUGUGAAAGUGAAAGUAAACUCAAGAGCAGACUCCAUUUUGAGAAAAGAACAGAGCAGAGAGAGGAGAGGACGAGGAGACAGGGUGAGUGUUUACUCUGGGUUUUCUAAUGUCAAAGUCUUUAUCUGUAUCAUCUGUUAAUGAAAAAUGAUUUACUGACUAAUACACUUAAAAACGGUAAAACAAAGAAACCUGACCAGACAAAGAGCUGGAUCAGUUCUUGAUACAGGAAACUGUGUACGUGCAGUUCUUCCUCCUUCUUGUUUAGACUUGUCUUUUUAGUAAAAACAAAAAUGAGUUUCUUUUCAUUUAGCCUCUCAUUUCAAAUUUAAUCCAGUCCCUUUAAUUUUUUAUGAGACUUCAGGGACCUCACAGCUGUUGUUGUUUUGACCAUGAAUCAGAGAGAGGCCCUGUAGCGUACAGAUUAAACCCUGUAUAACUCUUAAAGAGGGGUAGUAAGCUUAUUUCAGACUGAAUACUUUCUUUUUGAUUCCUCUUUAAUAUCUUUACAUGAUUUUCAGUUUAGUCUCCUGUUUCUCACUCUGGUGUAUUAAAAUAUCUUUAUUUCAGCCUCUUCCUAAAACACUUCAUUUUAGCUGCUGUCUCUUUAAGGCCUCCUGUCCACGAGUCUACUUCUAUUUCUGAACACUGUCCUCCUGUUUGUAUCUCACCUGUUUGUCUACUUUGUCCUCAGGUUGUAUAACUCGGUUUCAUCUUCCAAAAAGUUGCUCAACAUCAGAUGGAGAAGAUGAGUGUUUGUGUCGAGGAAGAGGAGGACAGAGCAGAGUCUGUCAUGUCAGACUGUCUGUCUAUGAAGAGUGACUGUUCUAAAGAUUUUAUCCUGGAGUUCAGGAAAGAACCAGGACCCUCAGAGGAGUGCAGAGCAAAGUCUAUUCCGUCCAGCUGUCUGUCUAUGAAGAGUGACCGGUCUAAAGGUAUUAUCCUGAACUUCAGAAAAGAACCAGAACCCUCAGAUUCACAGUAAGAGAAACACUUUUCAACCACCAAACUCUCAAACAACAACAAUUGAUGUUUCAAAAACAAAACUUUUAAAUUCUGACCCCUCUGUUUUCUACCAUGGUGAGAAAAAUGAUCUCCUCUGCUCUCAAAACGGUGAUUUUCCUCUGUAACCUGCCAACCUGGAUAAAGGGCUGGUGAAGAAAAUUCACUGAGCACAGAUUUACUUAUUAUUCAUCAUGUUGAUAAAAAUUAAGGUCGUAUAAAACAGCAUCUGAAAAGGAUUCUGACCUCUGUAUUUUCUGAUUUGGUUCCUGUGUUUGAGACGUUUUGAGCCUGUAAGUCUUUGGACUGUGGUGUAUAGACCCCAGAAAACAGUCUGUGGGUCACAAAAUACCAGAAGACCGAUGAAGAAAUCAUUCCUGUUUGAUCUUUUGAUCAAAAAACUGUAGAAUUGGUGGAGAAAAUCUCUCCACCCUCAAAAAUCUCAGUUUAGUUUUUCUCCUGUCUCCACACUUUCAGGCAGCAGCAGCUGAAUAUUUUACAGGAGAUUGUUUUAUGUUAGAGAAAAGAGUGAGGUCAGAAACUCUGGUUUAAUAAAUGCUUCUUAUUCUGUAUCUUUCAAACAUGAAAUGAUAAAGAAAAUAAAUGUUCUUUAUUUCCACAGAGAGACACAGAGAUGUGACUCUGUGGAGGAGCAGCUGUCCAGAUGUUCAUCAUGUCAGGACGUCCUGAAGGAUCCAGUCUCUUACCGCUGUGGACACCUGUCCUGCAGACAGUGCCUGGCCUCAUGCAGGGACCAGUCUACUUCUUUAGGACACACCUCCUGUCCCCAGUGUGGAAAAAGAACCAGAACAGCUCUUGUCUCUCAGACAGACAGUCAGUCCAGCUCUGAUGGAAGUAAGUCUGAACAUCUGUCCUCUAAAGUCUCUGUGGAUGAAAACUCAGCUGACUGAUUUUCACAAAGACGUUUUCGUGUUGAGAAGUUUGGUUCAUUUGAUUUUUCUUCUCUUUCAGAAGAUGGCGGUCUGCAGGAGGUUUUAGAUGAACAUAAGAUCAGUCUGAAGAGGAGAUGUGAACGUGUGAAUGAAGGAAGUGAUGGAACAGGAAGUAGUCAAACCCUCCUCAACAGGAUCUUCACUGAGCUCUACAUCACACAGGGACUGAGUGAAGAGGUGAACACCCAACAUGAGGUGAGACAGCUGGAGACAGCUUCAAAGAUGGAGACCCUCCAUGACACGCCCAUCAAGUGUCAUGAGAUCUUUCAAACCUUACCUGACCAACAGAAGAAGGUCAUCAGAGUGGUUCUGACCAACGGCGUGGCUGGUGUUGGAAAAACCUUCUCAGUGCAGAAGUUCACUCUGGACUGGGCAGAGGGUUUGGAGAACCAAGACCUCAAUCUGGUGAUCCUGCUUUCAUUCAGGGAGCUGAACCUGAUCAGAGAUGAGCGCUUCAGUCUUCUGAGUCUGCUCCAUGUUUUCCAUCCAACACUAGAGAAGGUCACAGCAGAGACGCUGGCUGUCUGUAAACUUCUGUUCAUCUUUGACGGUCUGGAUGAAAGCAGACUGUCUCUGGAUUUCACAGACUCUGAGGUGGUGUCUGACGUCACACAGAAGUCUUCACUGAACGUUCUGAUAACAAACCUCAUCAAGGGGAACCUGCUCCCCUCAGCUCUCAUCUGGAUAACUUCUCGACCUGCAGCAGCCAAUCAGAUCCCUCCUUCAUGUGUGGACAGGGUAACAGAAGUACGAGGCUUCACUGACGACCAGAAGGAGGUGUACUUCAGGAAGAGGUUCAGAGAUGAGGAACUGUCCAGAAGAAUCAUCUCACACAUCAAGUCCUCCAGGAGCCUCCACAUCAUGUGUCAGAUCCCGGUCUUCUGCUGGAUCACUGCUACAGUUCUGGAGGACAUGAUGAGCAGAGAGCAGAGAGGAGAGCUGCCCAAGACCCUGACGGACAUGUACUCACACUUCCUGCUGGUCCAGACUAAGAGGAAGAAGCAGAAGUAUGAAGGAGGACAUGAGACAAGUCCUCAGGAGCUGACGGAGGCUGACAGUGAAGUCCUCCUGAAGCUGGGGAGGCUGGCCUUUGAACAUCUGGAGAAAGGAGACAUCAUGUUCUACCAAGAAGACCUGGAGCGGUGUGGUCUGGAUGUCUCAGAGGCCUCGGUGUACUCAGGAGUUUGUACAGAGAUCUUCAGAAGAGAGAGUGUGAUCUUCCAGAAAACUGUUUACUGUUUCGUUCAUCUGAGCGUUCAGGAGUUUCUGGCUGCAGUCUACGUGAUCCACAGUUUCACAAACAGGAACACAAAAGUUCUGAAGACUUUCCUAAGAGGCAACAAUGACGAAGACAAAAUGUCUCACUUAAAGACGGUUUCCAGAUCUUUUAAAAACCUAAAUCUCUUCCUGAAGAAUGCCAUGAAGAAAUCUCUUGUCAGUAAAAACGGUCACCUGGACCUGUUUGUUCGCUUCCUUCAUGGACUCUCUCUGGAGUCAAACCAGAGACUCUUAGGAGGUCUGCUGGGUCACACAGGCAACAGUCCAAUAAUGAUCCAAAGAGUCAUCAACAACCUGAAGGAGAUGAACAGUAGAGAUAUCUCUCCUGACAGAAGCAUCAACAUCUUCCACUGUCUGAUGGAGAUGAACGAUCUGUCAGUUCAUCAGGAGAUCCAAGAGUUCCUGAAGUCAGAGAAGAGGUCAAGUAGGAAAUUCUCAAUUAUCCAAUGCUCUGCUCUGGCCUACAUGCUGCAGAUGUCAGAGGAGGUUCUGGAUGAGUUGGACUUUAAGAAGUAUAAAACAUCAAACCAGGGACGACUGAGACUGAUGCCAGCUGUGAGGAACUGCAGAAAAGCUCGGUAAGUCCAGGUUUUAUUCUCAGAAUAGUGUAAAUGAUCCCUGUAGUUCUUCUAAUGUCCACGUUACUGAUGAUGUUCUUCUUCAAAUAGAAAUCAGCUAAAACUAUCAGGGAGGGGGUUUCUUUAGGUUCAGCGAAAACAUGAUCCUGGUUUUUGUCUGUAAUGAAUAAAGUGGAACUUUCAGGACAAAUCAGCGACCAUAUCUGAGGACACACAGAGGUCUUCUGAUGAUGGUAUCAGUCCAGAUCAACAUCUCAGUCAGUUGUGGUGAACUUGAGUUUGAAGAAGGUGUCUGCAGCUUCUUCCUGCUGGAACUGGAUCAUUUUCUACACAGUGGCAGAACUGUCUCUGUACCAUCAUGUUCGUCAUCAUCAAUACAACCAUGAAAACUAACAUCAUUUUCCACCACUCACUGGAUAUUAUCUGGUGAACUAGAACAUAUGCAUGAUGAGAACAUGAGUUAUUUGGACAGCAGCUCCAUGUGUCUGAAAACAAUGGUGGAAAUAGGAUGUUAAUGUCUCUCUCUAUGCUAAUGACGCACUAACACUAGUCUGCCUCAUAACACCUCAUAGUAUGGGGAAACAGCUGUGCUCUUCCACUGUAUAUAUGGACACCAUGUCUCUAAGGAGAAGCAGUGUGACUGCAUCAUCAUCAUCAGUUUUCCAUGGUGUCCCUUUGUUGUCAUAGUGAUGCUGCAGAGUGAAGAUGGUUCCUCUAAUGUUGAGGUGUUGGUGGGCUGUAGCGGUCACAUUUCUCCCACUCGGCUGCGUGCCUCGGUUUAAGGUCUGAACCAGGUCUAAAGGACUAACAAGACAGACUUUUUUAGGAAGCAAAAACUAGCAAAAAAACUAGCAAUCUGUUAUUUUUAUAGGAGUUAUGCGAACUUAUGUCUCAUAGAGUUCAAAUAACCUCAAUCAUGAGAGAGAGAGAGAAACAAACAAAGACAGAGGUUCAGUGGGUCUUUGUAUCUGUCUCUUAAAGGUCUCUCUGGAUUCAUCAGGCUUUAUAAACUUGUUUCUGCUGGUGAAGGGAAUGUUACAUGGAGAAAAAACUUUGACUGUGAAAACAAAGAAAUCUUCAACUCUUCAAAUGUUCAGAGUCAAACCAGCUCUAACCUGCUAAAAAACGAUUUGAUCUGAACCAAUCAUAGAAAAAGGAGCUGCUGCUGUGAUUUAGUGAGUCGUCCUCUGAUUGGUCAACAGGCCGUCUGUCAAACCAAAGAUCAUGUUUAAGUUGUUUUUGGUGAAGAGAAACAUCAAAUUACCCUUCAAUGAAAUAUUGUUUGAUGUUUAUGUUGUUACAGAUUUUCUGACUGUGGACUCUCAAAGACUCACUGUAAAUUUGUGGCCUCAGCCCUGAAGUCCGACCCCUCCUAUCUGAGACAUCUGGACCUGAGUGGAAACAAACUGCAGGAUUCAGGAGUGAAGCUUCUCUCUGCAGGACUGCAGAGUCCAAACUGCAGACUGAAGAUUCUGAGGUCAGACACCAUUUCCUUCUGAUCUAACAAUAAGAUGUGACAGUUGCUGCCUUAGAUUUUUCUCUGUGGUUUUUCCAUCACCUUUAGUCGAGCAGUUUGAAUUGGAGUUGUAAAACUUCUACUCAAAGUCAACUCUGAAAUGUUUGAUUUUUCUUCCUGUGUUGAAUGAUGGAUGUAGAAAGGAAGCAGGAGAAAAUCAGUCCCACAAAUAUUACACAUGCUUGUAGAGGGCAGGAGCAGCACAGACUAAAGGCUGAUAUUGAACUGAUCCACAGUUAAUGUGAUCACUAAUGAAUGAAUGAAGUGUCAGAGAAAUGAUUAGCUGCAGAUUGAAACCUUAAGAACAAAGUUAAUCCAACUCUGGAUAUUUCAUUUGGAAACUCUUGAAAACUUGAAUUUCUUCUUUGCUCAGUCGUGUUCAAAUGUAAAAACCAGAUCCAGAUUUUUCUGCAGUUUUCACUUCAGUUUGUUGAACAUUAACAUCAUCUUGUCCAGUUGGUCCAUAAAAACCUCUCUGAUCAAUGAUCUGUUGGUUUAUUUACGAGUAGUUUGUCAGUUGUUGACGGCAGACGGACAGAGCCCUGAAUAAACUCCUGACUGUUUUCAUCUUCAUGAAGAAUUCAGGACUACAAAAAAACCUUUGAGAUUUCUCACAUUAAUUUCUCAGGAUCUCACUAAAGUUUUCUGUAUUCUAAACAUAUUCUUGACUGAAUUAUUCCUCAGGAUCUUCACAAAGUUUAGAGAGAAUUUCACAAAGUUCCUCAAGAUCAACUCUGAAAAAGUUCUCCUUCCAUGUCCCUCAGGGGCUCAAGAACAUUGAAUCAUUAAAGCAGGAACAGUUUCUUUAGAGGUUCAAUGAUUUUUUUUUUUUUUCAGAUUGAGUGACUGCAGUUUGUUUAGCUGUUCUUCUCUGGCCUCGGCUCUGUAUUUCAAUCCCUUCCAUCUGAGACAGUUGGACCUGAGUGACAACAAAUUGCAGGAUUCAGGAGUGGAGCUGCUGUGUGACUUUCUGCAGGAUCCAAACGGUAAACUGGAGCAUCUGGGGUAAGUUUAGUCUUUGUCUGUUUCUGGUGUAGAUUUUAAUGUUUAAUCAUUUUUUUUAACCCAAUUCAAAUGUUCACAGACUUCUUGAAUAUUUCCAGAACUUUCUUCUCACUCACAUACAUUCAUAGUUUUUAUUGAAUCAGCAGUCAGAUACAGAUAGAGGAAAAUGAGCACUGUGAGUUAUUUUGUUGAUUGAAUGUUGAUGAUUUUUUAUCAAUGGUUCAGAUGAGCACUGCAGUGAUGUUGAGGGGUUUACUUCCUCGGUCUCUAAAACAUUUAAAUGUUCAAGGAUGCAGUGAACUCAGUUUCCAUGCAGCUCAGAAACACAGCUCAUCUUUUUCAAACUUCAAAAUUCUUGAGACUGAAUUUUGUUUGUCAUGAGAUGUGACAGCUGAUUUUAUAAAUUAACUUGAAGAUAACUUCAGAGACAUUUUGAACAUAUUCGUGAGUUAAUAUUCAUUAAUUACAACCAUAUCAUAGUGAUAUCAGACAGGAGUGUGACAGGUGUUUAUUAGUCUUUUUGACACGUUACAAUAAUGAGGAUAAAGUCAUGGACUAAACUUGGGCUCCCAGUUUCCUUGUUGUUGUUGUUGCUUCAGCUAGCAUCAUUGUUUUCAUCACAGUUAUUAAAGUAAUAAUGAUGCUUCAUGAAUUCAGAGUCACAAAAAACACCAAACAAACCAAAUCUGAAAAAAAUCCACUUUUUCAUCAAAUGUGUUUAAUCUGUCAGAACAUGAGGUUUGAGUUUUCAUGAGGAGGAAUAGAGAAAUAUCUGCAAUGAUAGAUAGAAACACAGACACCUGAAUUUACACUGACAGACACACAAACACAGACAGAGAGACACAAACAGGGAUUUCCACUUUGUCACUUUGCUCUGAUGACUGAAGUCACAAAAACAAAGUUUUCUUUGUCACUUUUAUGAUUGAACCAAAUAAGUUCAAGAACCAAACUCUCAGAUUUUGUUCUUCCCAAUAUUAUUUGAACCAUUUUGAUUUUUCUUCUGAUCAAUAUUCAAUGAUCAGAUUGAUUAGGUUCCUGUUUUGGCUCCACUGCCUCUUUUCUGCGAGCUCAAUAACUGCUCAUAUGGUUUGAAAGGUUCCUGCUGCAAAACCCGAUUAGAGAGUGGACUAAAUGAAAUGUGAGUGAACUCAGCCAUCAGUGAAUAAAUGACAAAGUGAGAGGAAGAGUGGAUCUGUCUGCUCUCUGACCUUGUUGAUCCUGAUGAAGGUGAGGGAGAAGAGUAAAGCAGUAAAGGUGAUGUUGUUGCAGACAGAGUCAGCUGACCUGUCUCAUCAGAGUCUCAUCCAUUCUCUGUUUAGCAGAGCGCUGAUGUUACAGUCUGAGAGCACAUUCAGGUUCAGCUUCACAUGGGCUGGAUCUGCUCAAUACAAACUCUUGAGACCAGCCUGGUUGAGGGAGGUGGGCUCAGUGUCCUGGGUGACUCUCUCUGAGCUCUUCUUGGUUGAGAGUAUUUCUGGUUUGUCUCUGACUUCCAUGAACUCAGAUCUGGAGGAUUGCUGGCUGGUCCGGUCCAGUGCUGACAGUAGAGACAACACAGUCUGUUAUUCUGGGUUGGGUGUUCUUGUUGAAGAUCAGUGUACAGUGAGGGAUGAAGGCAGACAAAGAUCCUCCUGUUUCCUCCAUGUCACAGUUCAAGUUCAUUUUGAAGACUUUUAUUGAUCCGAGCGCUGAAGAGGAACAGGAAACAUGGAGUAGAGAGUGAGGGAGGACUUACAGCAAAGGAUCAUGGGAGUCUAACCAGCAACUGCUACGACAAGGACUCCACCUUCUGAACACCUGAACCUCUAAUCCAAACCAGUGCUCCAUCACACUUGAUGUCUUGUCUGUUAUUUAACAUGGAGGGUCAGAGCAGACCAGAUAAUGAGCUCUGACAGACUGGAUCUGGUCCAAAGGUCUCCUGUUGGAGUUCUCGAAGCUCCAUAUUUUAAAUCUGAACACGUGAAGUUUGAUUAUUAAUUAUUUUUAUCUACAUUCUCUUUCCUUUUUUCAGACUGAGUGGCUGCAGUUUGUCAGAGAUCAGCUGUUCUUCUCUGGCCUCAGCUCUGAAGUCCAACCCCUCCCAUCUGAGUGAGCUAAACUUGGGUAACAACGAUCUGCAGGACUCAGGAGUGAAGCUGCUGUGUGACUUUCUGCAGAGUCCAAACUGUAAACUGGACAUUCUGGGGUAAGUUUGUUGAUGAUGUUUUCAUGUCUAGAGGACAUGCUGGAGUGAAUUCAACCAAACCUCCUGAGAAAAAGACAGCAGUGGCAGACAUUAGAUCAGACUUCAUGACGUCUGUGCGUCCCGUUAAUCAACCAAAUCAGCAGUCUGAGAGUUUUCCCUCAUCUCUUUAGAUUUGAUGGUUUUUGUGAUUUUAAUGUUUCCACACAAACUUUAAAUUGUUGAAACUGAAUUUUGUUCGUCAUGAUAAUGUGACAGCUGAUUUUAUAAAAAAACUUUUAGAUUUGGAGUUAAAGUGUUUCAAUUUCAGACAUUUUGAACAUAUUUAUGAGUUUUUAUUCAUUAAUUACAACCAUAUCAUACUGAUAUCAGACAGGAGUGUGACAGGUGUUUAUUUUGUCUUUUUGACACGUUACAAUAAUGAGGAUAAAGUCAUGGACUAAACUUGGGCUCCCAGUUUCCUUGUUGUUGUUGUUGCUUCAGCUAGCAUCGUUUUCAUCACAGUUAUUAAAGUAAUAAUGAUGCUUCAUAAAUCCAGAGUCACAAAAAACACCAAACAAACCAAAUCUGAAAAAGAUCCACUUUUUCAUCAAAUGUGUUUAAUCUGUCAGAUCAUGAGGUUUGAGUUUUCAUGAGGAGGAAUAGAGAAAUAUCUGCAGUGACAGAGAGAAACACAGACGCCUGAAUUUACACUGACAGACACACAAACACAGACAGAGAGACACAAACAGGGAUUUCCACUUUGUCACUUUGCUCUGAUGACUGAAGUCACAAAAACAAAGUUUUCUUUGGUUCUUGAACUUAUUUGGUUAAAUCAUAAAAGUGACAAACUCUCAGAUUUUGUUCUUCCCAAUAUUAUUUAAUGAGCUCUUUCAAACUGGAUCUGGUCCAAAGGUCUCCUGUUGGAGUUCUCUAGGCUUGAUUUUUUUAAACCUGAAAACUUGAAGUUUGAUUAUUAAUUAUUUUUAUCUACAUUCUUUAUCCUUUUUUCAGGCUGUGGAGCUGCGGGUUGUCAGAGAUCAGCUGUUCUUCUCUCGUCUCAGCUCUAAAGUCCAACCCCUCGCAUCUGAGAUUUCUGGACCUGAGUGACAACAAAUUGCAGGAUUCAGGAGUGAAGCUGCUGUGUGACUUUCUGCAGGAUCCAAACUGUGAACUGGCGAUUCUGGGGUUAGUUUAUUCUUUGUCUGUUUCUGGUGUAGCUUUUGAUGUUUAAUCAUUUUUUUAACCCAAUUCAAAUGUUCACAGACUUCUUGAAUAUUUCCAGAACUUUCUUCUUACUCACAAAGGUGACAAAGAUCCUCCUGUUUCCUCCAUGUCACAGUUCAAGUUCAUUUUGAAGAGUUCUCUAAGCUCGACAUUUUAAACCUGAACAUAUGAAGUUUGAUUAUUAAUUAUUUUUAUUUACAUUCUCUUUCCUUUUUUCAGACUGAGUUUCUGCAGUUUGUCAGAGAUCAGCUGUUCUUCUCUGGCCUCAGCUCUGAAGUCCAACCCUUCCCAUCUGAGAAACCUGGACCUGAGUGGAAACGAUCUGCAGGAUUCAGGAGUGAAGCUGCUGUGUGACUUUCUGCAGAGUCCAAACUGUGAACUGGAGAUUAUAGAGUGAGACUUUUUUCCUCCAUUCAAACAUUAUCAUGAUUUGUUUGUGAUGAUGACACUAAACUGCUGACUCAGGACUGAAAUACUGACCCAGACUGAACACCUUCAGUCCAGAGUAGAUUUUCUGCAUCAGUGGAUUAUUUGAUUGACUCCAGUUCGAUCACUGCUGAGCUCCAGUGAAUUAAAACCUGAACCCAAGAAGAAACUCUUUGUAGAGUUCACAGUGAGAAGCACAUUCAGACAGAAAACAGAAGCAGGGGGAGAUUUGUCAGACGAGAACCAUUCAAACUUUUGUUCAGGACAAGAUCAGGGAAUAGAAAAAACUCAGAGUUUAGUUUCUGACACUGAUGAAAGUCCAGCUCUGUUACUUUGAAUUUUGAUUGUUUUUAAAUCUUUGUGUGAAAAUCUGAAUUUGAUGGUUUAUCAUGUGUUUUUGAAUUCACUGUUUCAAACUGACUUCCUGUUUGGUUCAGCUCUUUGGAGCGUCACUUUUCUCUGAUUCAUACUUUCCAAACCUUUCCCCUGAACUCUACAGAUUUAAGACAUCAGGUUUCAAACUGGAUCAUUUUUCUCUAAAAUCUCAUUAUUUCCUCUUUAUUUAGGUUGAAAUACUGCAGUUUGACAAAGAUCAGCUGUUCUUCUCUGGCCUCAGCUCUGAAGUCCAACCCCUCCCAUCUGAAAACUCUGGACCUGAGAGACAACAAUCUGCAGUAUUCAGAUCUGAAGCCGCUGCGUGAUCUUCAGAAGAGUCUAGACUACAGCCUGGAGGAUCUGAGGUCAGUAUAGAGUUGGAGUUGCAGAUAUUCAGUAUUUCCUGCUGACUCUUCGACCCUCUCAGAGGAUUCUUUCUUUAGUGAAGCUGUGAGAACAGAAAUCAUCAAACCAGGAGUGUAAGAGUGUCAGUCAUGAAAAAAGUGUCUCCUCGUCUCUAUAUUUCAGAUCAAAUGUAGAAAUGAGACAUAAUGAAACAGAAAUGUUCAGUUUCUGCUCUGAAGUCCAGUUUAUAGUUCUCUGUAUUCAACACAGACUUUAUUUCUCUGCUAACUUGUUGAUUUUGAGCUCUAAGUCUGAAAACAGACAGCUGUUCUUUAUACUUGUUAUUUUCACAGCAGGUUUGUUCGAUCAGCUUUAACACAUUUGACAGGAAGGAUUUCUUUAUUUUGAUGAUGUUGGUUUAUUUGUGAGGAAACCUGCUGCUUUACACCAUCACUUCUGGUCUGAGCAGGACUGAGACCUGCUGGUCUGUAAACUGGAUGUUCUUCAGUCCAGCUGAUGAAGUGAGUCUCAGAGUGGAAACACUGAUCGUCUUUUUUUCUCUCCGCAGCCGGGUUGACCUCAAGAGUGAUGAUGAAGAGGAUGAUCUGUCUUCUGAUGAUCAGAGAGGUGAAGGCAGCAGUAGUGAGGAUGAGUCUCUGACUUGGCCAUGUUACUGAGAGACUGACUGACCAAUCACAGCGGACGGAGAGGACUCUGGGAGCUGCACUUUGACCUGCUCUGAGAUCAGCUCAGGACCUGGACUCUGGAUAUUUGAUAUUUUCCCUCAUAUUCUGGGAUCAAACAGUCUGAACAGGUUUGUUUUGUUUAUGGAAACAUGAUCAUAAAUUCACCCACCCCCAUGAUGCAGCGCCACCUAGUGGAAAUAUAAAGCGGUGGAGUUGAUGUAUUCCCACAGACUUCUGCAGCAGGAGUUGAUACCAUGUGUGACAGUAGAUCAGUCAGAAGUUCUGAUUAAGGCUGUUUUUCAGGGACCAAAACUUUCUGUCUGUCAGAACAUUUAGAGCUAAAAUCUGGGAGAGUUAAGACUAAUCUAAACAAAGUGUUGAGUUUCAGAACAGUACAACACGUCGUCAUGGGUAGCCUCCUGGAGGAUAGAUAUGAUGUACCCAUGAUGAUGAAAGACUCAUACACACACACACACACACAUAUCAGAGGUACAAGCAGUUUCAAAGGGAGUAGACGAAAGGCUUAGGGAGCUUUCUUUGGUUUUGGUCAAAACUCUGUCAUCUUUACUGAUUUCUACAUCUGUACAAUAAAAGACACCCAGGCUGUGCUUCAGAUCUCAUCCUGUCUCCUGUGCAUUGUUUUACUGAGUUUAUGCUGGAUUCUCCACUACAUCCCUGUACAUGUUUUUGUUCUCAUAUAAUCUUUGAGCUCAUCAAUAAUCGAUUCCCUCCUGUUUGGAUGUACAAACACAAUCAUUAAACCAUAAAUGAGACCUGAAUGUAAAAGUAAAAUGUGUGAAAUAUAAUUUGUCAAAGCAAAGAUUCUUGAACAAAAAAACUCCAAAGCUUUUCUAUCCCACAGAGAAGAUCGGUUUGUUUUCAGAGACCUUCCUGAUCCCAUCCCUCCAAAAUGAAAAUAAUCUGAUGAUUUAUUAACUGCUGAAUCAAAAACAUAAGUUGUUCCUUAUUUUCUUUACGCAAACGUUUGUGUUCAUUUAAUCAUUUUCCAUGUUAAGCUGGAUGGUGGGGAUUUGUCGUGUUAUGUGCAUAUAUUCAUGUAAGGACUCUUAAACAAGUGGUUGCGACACGUCGUUAUCUGUUCCACAAUGGCUGUCUUGCUUUCCUUCUUCUCAACUCUGAGUGUUCGGUUGUACGGGACAUCGUAAUAAGUUAUUCACAGUUUUUUUAAUGAAAAUUUUAUGGUAGUUUGUUGCUGGUUAAUGAUAGUUCAUUCGUUUUCUUUGACAGCCAAGUUAGCCAAAGAAACAAGUCAAACAAGAAAUUGUUAUUAAAAUCUUGUAACUUGUCAGGAAAGCUCCUGCAUCUUGCAAAGUAUUGGUGAUUUCUUUUCUUGUUUCAUCUGAAAAAUUCGUAGGAGAUGGUAAAAGACCUCUCGCUUUAAGUUUGCAUGGUCUUAUCAAAAUUAGCUGCUGUUCUGCGCUUUUUAACUUAUUUUAGUUUUUUCUAGGAUUAUAAUUAAUUAAAUGUGUGGUAAUGUUAAAUGAGCAUCAUGAAGAGAGAGCGACAUUGACAACCUUAAGACAGAGCUGGAGGUAGAGAAGCACUCAUCUGUAGUUUGUUGGUUUGACCAGCAGGUGGAGCUGCUGUGUAAACAAUAAACUGAGACUCAACCAAACAAGUUCCUGUUUGAGUGAACUUGUUUAAUUUUGACACAGGAGAGGAAGAUGAUUGUCAAGAAUACUGAACUUAAAAGAUGAUCAAAAACUGUCAGUAAAUGUCAUGAGAAGAAGAAUCUGUGAUCUGGUGGUUUAGGUUUCAGUGGAAAGAGUCACUGUGAAAGUGAAAGUAAACUCAAGAACAGACUCCAUUGAGAAAAGAACAGAGCAGAGAGAGGAGAGGACGAGGAGACAGGGUGAGUGUUUACUCUGGGUUUUCUAACGUCAAAGUCUUUAUCUGUAUCAUCUGUUAAUGAAAAAUGAUUUACUGACUAAUACACUUAAAAACUGUAAAACACAGAAACCUGACCAGACAAAGAGCUGGAUCAGUUCUUGAUACAGGAAACUGCGUACGUGCAGUUCUUCCUCCUUCUUGUUUAGACUUGUCUUUUUAGUAAAAACAAAAAUGAGUUUCUUUUCAUUUAGCCUCUCAUUUCAAAUUUAAUCCAGUCCCUUUAAUUUUUAUGAGACUUCAGGGACCUCACAGCUGUUGUUGUUUUGACCAUGAAUCAGAGAGAGGCCCUGUAGCGUACAGAUUAAACCCUGUAUAACUCUUAAAGAGGGGUAUUAAGCUUAUUUCAGACUGUAUACUUUCUUUCUGAUUCCUCUUUAAUAUCUUUACAUGAUUUUCAGUUUAGUCUCCUGUUUCUCACUCUGGUGUAUUAAAAUAUCUUUAUUUCAGCCUCCUCCUAAAACACUUCAUUUUAGCUGCUGUCUCUUUAAGGCCUCCUGUCCACGAGUCUACUUCUAUUUCUGAACACUGUCCUCCUGUUUGUAUCUCACCUGUUUGUCUACUUUGUCCUCAGGUUGUAUAACUCGGUUUCAUCUUCCAAAAAGUUGCUCAACAUCAGAUGGAGAAGAUGAGUGUUUGUGUCGAGGAAGAGGAGGACAGAGCAGAGUCUGUCAUGUCAGACUGUCUGUCUAUGAAGAGUGACUGUUCUAAAGAUUUUAUCCUGGAGUUCAGGAAAGAACCAGGACCCUCAGAGGAGUGCAGAGCAAAGUCUAUUCCGUCCAGCUGUCUGUCUAUGAAGAGUGACGUAUCUAAAGGAAUUCCUCUAAACUUCAGUAAAGAACCAGGACCCUCAGAGGAGUACAGAGCAAUGUCUGUUAUGUCCGACUGUCUGUCUAUGAAGAGUGACUGGUCUAAAGAGAUUAUCCUGGAGUUCAGGAAAGAACCAGGACCCUCAGAUUCACAGUAAGAGAAACACUUUUCAACCACCAAACUCUCAAACAACAACAAUUGAUGUUUCAAAAACAAAACUUUAAAUUCUGACCCCUCUGUUUUCUACCAUGGUGAGAAAAAUGAUCUCUGCUCUCAAAACAGUGAUUUUCCUCUGUAACCUGCCAACCUGGAUAAAGGGCUGGUGAAGAAAAAGUCACUGAGCACAGAUUUACUUAUUAUUCAUCAUGUUGAUAAAAAUGAAGGUCGUAUAAAACAGCAUCUGAAAAGGAUUCUGACCUCUGUAUUUUCUGAUUUGGUUCCGGCGUCUGAGACGUUUUGAGUCUGUAAGUCUUUGGACUGUGGUGUAUAGACCCCAGAAAACAGUCUGUUGGUCACAAAAUACCAGAAGACCGAUGAAGAAAUCAUUCCUGUUUGAUCUUUUGAUAAAAAAACUGUAGAAUUGGUGGAGAAAAUCUCUCCACCCUCAAAAAUCGCAGUUUAGUUUUUCUCCUGUCUCCACACUUUCAGGCAGCAGCAGCUGAAUAUUUUACAGGAGAUUGUUUUAUGUUAGAGAAAAGAGUGAGGUCAGAAACUCUGGUUUAAUAAAUGAUUCUUAUUCUGUAUCUUUCAAACAUGAAAUGAUAAAGAAAAUAAAUGUUCUUUAUUUCCACAGAGAGACACAGAGAUGUGACUCUGUGGAGGAGCAGCUGUCCAGAUGUUUUUCAUGUCAGGACGUCCUGAAGGAUCCAGUCUCUUACCGCUGUGGACACCUGUCCUGCAGACAGUGCCUGGCCUCAUGCAGGGACCAGUAUACUUCUUUAGGACACACCUCCUGUCCCCAGUGUGGAAAAAGAACCAGAACAGUUCUUGUCUCUCAGACAGACAGUCAGUCCAGCUCUGAUGGAAGUAAGUCUGAACAUCUGUCCUCUAAAGUCUCUGUGGAUGAAAACUCAGCUGACUGAUUUUCACAAAGACGUUUUCGUGUUGAGAAGUUUGGUUCAUUUGAUUUUUCUUCUCUUUCAGCAGAUGGCGGUCUGCAGGAGGUUUUAGAUGAACAUAAGAUCAGUCUGAAGAGGAGAUGUGAACGUGUGAAUGAAGGAAGUGAUGAAACAGGAAGUAGUCAAACCCUCCUCAACAGGAUCUUCACUGAGCUCUACAUCACACAGGGACUGAGUGAAGAGGUGAACACACAACAUGAGGUGAGACAGCUGGAGACAGCUUCAAAGAUGGAGACCCUCCAUGACACGCCCAUCAAGUGUCAUGAGAUCUUUAAAACCUUACCUGACCAACAGAAGAAGGUCAUCAGAGUGGUUCUGACCAACGGCGUGGCUGGUGUUGGAAAAACCUUCUCAGUGCAGAAGUUCACUCUGGACUGGGCAGAGGGUUUGGAGAACCAAGACCUCCAUCUGGUGGUCCUGCUUUCAUUCAGGGAGCUGAACCUGAUCAGAGAUGAGCGCUUCAGUCUUCUGAGUCUGCUCCAUGUUUUCCAUCCAACACUAGAGAAGGUCACAGCAGAGACGCUGGCUGUCUGUAAACUUCUGUUCAUCUUUGACGGUCUGGAUGAAAGCAGACUGUCUCUGGAUUUCACAGACUCUGAGGUCCUGUCUGACGUCACACAGAAGUCUUCACUGAACGUUCUGAUAACAAACCUCAUCAAGGGGAACCUGCUCCCCUCAGCUCUCAUCUGGAUAACUUCUCGACCUGCAGCAGCCAAUCAGAUCUCUCCUUCACGUGUGGACAGGGUAACAGAAGUACGAGGCUUCACUGACGCCCAGAAGGACGAGUACUUCAGGAAGAGGUUCAGAGAUGAAGAUCUGUCCACAAGAAUCAUCUCACACAUCAAGUCCUCCAGGAGCCUCCACAUCAUGUGUCAGAUCCCGGUCUUCUGCUGGAUCACUGCGACAGUUCUGGAGGACAUGAUGAGCAGAGAGCAGAGAGGAGAGCUGCCCAAGACCCUGACGGACAUGUACUCACACUUCCUGCUGGUCCAGACUAAGAGGAAGAAGCAGAAGUAUGAAGGAGGACAUGAGACAAGUCCUCAGGAGCUGACGGAGGCUGACAGUGAAGUCCUCCUGAAGCUGGGGAGGCUGGCCUUUGAACAUCUGGAGAAAGGAGACAUCAUGUUCUACCAAGAAGACCUGGAGCGGUGUGGUCUGGAUGUCUCAGAGGCCUCGGUGUACUCAGGAGUUUGUACAGAGAUCUUCAGAAGAGAGAGUGUGAUCUUCCAGAAAACUGUUUACUGUUUCGUUCAUCUGAGCGUUCAGGAGUUUCUGGCUGCAGUCUACAUGAUCCACAGUUUCACAAACAGGAACGCAGAAGUUCUGAAGACUUUCCUAAGAGGCAACAAUGACGAAGACAAAAUGUCUCACUUAAAGACGGUUUCCGGAUAUUUUAAAAACCUAAAUCUCUUCCUUAACAGUGCCAUGAAGAAAUCCCUUCUCAGUAAAAACGGUCACCUUGACCUGAUUGUUCGCUUCCUUCAUGGACUCUCUCUGGAGUCAAACCAGAGACUCUUAGGAGGUCUGCUGGGUCACACAGACAACAGUCCAAUAAUGAUCCAAAGAGUCAUCAACAACCUGAAGAAGAUGAACAGUAAAGAUAUCUCUCCUGACAGAAGCAUCAACAUCUUCCACUGUCUGAUGGAGAUGAACGAUCUGUCAGUUCAUCAGGAGAUCCAAGAGUUCCUGAAGUCAGAGAACAGAUCAGAGAGGAGACUCUCAAUGAUCCACUGCUCUGCUCUGGCCUACAUGCUGCAGAUGUCAGAGGAGGUUCUGGAUGAGUUGGACUUUAAGAAGUAUAAAACAUCAGACCAGGGACGACUGAGACUGAUGCCAGCUGUGAGGAACUGCAGAAAGGCUGAGUAAGUCCAGGUUUUAUUCUCAGAAUAGUGUAAAUGAUCCCUGUAGUUCUUCCAAUGUCCACGUUACUGAUGAUGUUCUUCUUCAAAUAGAAAUCAGCUGAAAUAUCAGGGAGGGGGUUUCUUUAGGUUCAGCAAAAACAUGAUCCUGGUGUCAGAAGUCCUGUUAGCCCAGGAUGAGGUCUACCUGUGGACCCCUGAGAACUUGUCCUGAUUGUGGAGGACCUCUUUGUUUUGAAUCGUGUCUGUAAUGAAUAAAGUGGAACUUUCAGGACAAAUCAGUGACCAUAUCUGAGGACACACAGAGGUCUUCUGAUGAUGGUAUCAGUCCAGAUCAACAUCUCAGUCAGUUGUGGUGAACUUGAGUUUGAAGAAGGUGUCUGCAGCUUCUUCCUGCUGGUUUUCAGGUUGGAAAUGAUGAAUCUGUUGUAAAUGAGGGUGUUGACAGCAUUGAUGGUGAAAAUAGAAGUGGAUCAUUUUCUACACAGUGGCAGAACUGUCUCUGUACCAUCAUGUUCAUCAUUCAAUAUUCAUCAUCAAUACAACCAUGAAAACUAACAUCAUUUUCCACCACUUCAAAGAUGAAUCUGUUUUUCCUUUUUUUUCUCCUGACUCCAAAUGUUUCUUUCUGAAUGAAACACACAAACGAGCAAAAUUCAAUCUGUUAUUUUUAUAGGAGUCAUGAGAACGUACGCCCCCUAGAGUUCAUAUGAGAGAGAGAGAGAGAGAGAGAGAGAGAGAGAGAGAGAGAGAGAGAGAGAGAGAGAGAGAGAGAGAGAGAGAAACAAAUACAGAGGUUCAGUGGGUCUUUGUAUCUGUCUCUUAAAGGUCUCUCUGGAUUCAUCAGGCUUCAUAAACUUGUUUCUGCUGGUGAAGGGAAUGUUACAUGGAGAAAAAACUUUGACUGUGAAAACAAAGAAAUCUUCAACUCUUCAAAUGUUCAGAGUCAAACCAGCUCUAACCUGCUGAAAAACGAUUUGAUCUGAACCAAUCAUAGAAAAAGGAGCUGCUGCUGUGAUUUAGUGAGUCGUCCUCUGAUUGGUCAACAGUCAGUGUCUAUGGACAGACUUACAUUACAGCAGGAUGUCAACAUUAAACACUGAGAGGAGCACUGAUUCUCCAAGAGGUACUUUGGAUACUAACCAAUCACAUACCAGGACCAAAAACCUGGUUCUCAGUCCCCUUCUCCAACCAGAACUCAAGAAUUCACACAAUCAUAAUGAUCCAGCUUAGUGCUGGACGAUAAUUCGAUAACAAUAUAUAUCGAUCGAUAGACGUGUGGUGCGAUAGAAAAAAAACGGGUCGAUAAAAAGUUCGAUAGAAAAACACAGUUUCCCUUUCUUUUUCAUCAUAGCCUAUCAUGUAGCUUUUACUACAGUCAUUGCUUCCUCCCAACCAAUCACAAACGCAGACCCAGGUACGCUACGGCACCAAGCCCAGCCCCUAUCAAACCACAACAGACAGCACGUGUAUUAGAAAAAAUGAUACAGCAAGGAGAAGCGGAGGAAAUUGUCCCGAAAAAAGGUCUCAGUAGUUCACCAGCAUGGCAGUGUUUUGGUUUUUAGAAGUCUGACAAAAAGCGAACAGCGGUCGUUUGCAAAAUUUGCAGAGAAUUAGUAAAAACCAAGUCUGGUAACACAACCAACUUGUUUUACCAUCUAAACCGGUCGCACCCGCAGGAGUACGAGCUGUGUCGGCCGCGCCGCGGCUCCACGUCAUCGUCGGCGGAAUCCUCUGGAACCGCUGCCAGCACCAGCACAAAGCAUGUGAAGCAGACCAAACUGGACAUCGUUUCUUGCCAAAAUACGACAAAGCGUCCGAGCGACAUAAGGACAUCACCCAUGCAGUAACAUGCUCCAUAGCGAGGGACAUACUGCUAAUAACUACCGUUGAAAAGCCGGGUUUUCGACCAGCUUCUAGCCACUCUCGACCCGCGAUAUGAAGUGUCCGGCCGCAAGUAUUUCUCAAACACAGCGCUUCAGGCAUGAAAACGGGUCAGGGGUUGAAAAGGUGAGAAGGGUGCGGAGGAAAUACGUUCCGGUGUUUGCCGUAGGAUGCACCCCUGCAUCCCGUCCACUCAUUCGCUUCUUAAAGUGGAAGAAAAUGAGCUCAUAUUUUACAAAGACGC